rnacentral:rRNA from 1 species
AGGUAGCGAAAUUCCUUGUCGGGUAAGUUCCGACCUGCACGAAUGGUGUAAUGAUUUGAGCGCUGUCUUGACGGGAGGCCUGGUGAAAUUGUACUACCGGUGAAGAUACCGGUUACCUACAGUAGGACGGAAAGACCCCAUGGAGCUUUACUGUAGCUUGGUAUUGGGUUUUGGCAUUGCAUGUAUAGGAUAGUUGGGAAACUAUGAAGAUAUGGCGCUAGCUGUAUUGGAGUUGUCGGUGGAAUACCAACCAUUCAAUGUCGAAAUUCUAAUCUGUGGUUUGCAGCCACGGAAACAGUGCUAGGUGGGCAGUUUGACUGGGGCGGUCGCCUCCGAAAGAGUAACGGAGGCGUUCAAAGGUUCUCUCAGGUUGGAUGGAAAUCAACCGCAGAGUGCAAUGGCAUAAGAGAGCUUAACUGCGAGACUGACGGGUCGAGCAGGUGCGAAAGCAGGACAUAGUGAUCCGGCGAUUCCGAAUGGAAGGGUCGUCGCUCAACGGAUAAAAGCUACCCUGGGGAUAACAGGCUGAUUUUGCCCGAGAGUCCAUAUCGACGGCAAAGUUUGGCACCUCGAUGUCGGCUCAUCGCAUCCUGGGGCUGGAGAAGGUCCCAAGGGUUGGGCUGUUCGCCCAUUAAAGCGGUACGUGAGCUGGGUUCAGAACGUCGUGAGACAGUUCGGUCCCUAUCCACUGUAGGCGUUAGAAUAUUGAGAAGAUCUGUCCUUAGUACGAGAGGACCGGGAUGGACAAACCUCUGAUGUACCAGUUGUCACGCCAGUGGCACAGCUGGGUAGUCACGUUUGGAACGGAUAACCGCUGAAAGCAUCUAAGCGGGAAACCAGCUUCAAGAUAAGUAUUCUUUAAGACUCCUUCGAGACUAGAAGGUUGAUAGGUUGGGGGUGUAAGAGCUGCGAGGCUUUUAGCUGACCAAUACUAAUAAGUCAAAGUUUUAACCUA